GUGGGGAAUAUUGGACAAUGGGCGCAAGCCUGAUCCAGCAAUGCCGCGUGGGUGAAGAAGGCCUUCGGGUUGUAAAGCCCUUUUGUACGGAAAGAAAUCCUGGUGGUUAAUACCCGCCGGGGAUGACGGUACCGUAAGAAUAAGCACCGGCUAACUUCGUGCCAGCAGCCGCGGUAAUACGAAGGGUGCAAGCGUUAAUCGGAAUUACUGGGCGUAAAGCGUGCGUAGGUGGUUUCUUAAGUCUGUCGUGAAAGCCCUGGGCUCAACCUGGGAAUGGCGAUGGAUACUGGGAGGCUAGAGUGCGGUAGAGGAUGGCGGAAUUCCCGGUGUAGCGGUGAAAUGCGUAGAGAUCGGGAGGAACAUCUGUGGCGAAGGCGGCCAUCUGGACCAGCACUGACACUGAGGCACGAAAGCGUGGGGAGCAAACAGGAUUAGAUACCCGGGUAGUCC
rnacentral:rRNA from 1 species